UCUGGUUGAUCCUGCCGGAGGCGACCGCUUUGGGAGUUCGAUUAAGCCAUGCGAGUCGUGAGUCUUAGGGACUCGGCAUACUGCUCAGUAACACGUGGAUAACCUGCCCUAUCGUCUGGAAUAACCUCGGGAAACUGAGAAUAAGGCCGGAUAGUUCACAAUGCCUGGAACGGUUUGUGAAUCAAGGUAGGAUGGGUCUGCGGCGUAUCAGGUUGUAGGGGGUGUAAAGGACCCCCUAGCCUUCGACGCGUACGGGUGUUGGGAGACAUAGCCCGGAGAUGGAUUCUGAGACACGAAUCCAGACCCUACGGGGUGCAGCAGGCGCGAAAACUUCACACUGCAGGAAACUGUGAUGAGGGAACUCCUAGUGCAUGCACUAUGUGUAUGUAGAACCUACUCUUAACUAGUAGAGGGAAAGGGCUGGGAAAGACCGGUGCCAGCCGCCGCGGUAAUACCGGCAGCUCAAGUGGUCGUCGCUUUUAUUGGGCCUAAAACGUCCGUAGCCUGUUUGGUAAAUCUGUGGGUAAAUCAAUCCGCUCAACGGAUUGAAUUCUGCAGAGACUGCCAGACUAGGGACCGGGAGAGGUGUGGGGUACUCGAGGGGUAGGGGUAAAAUCCUGUCAUCCUUUGAGGACCACCAGUUGCGAAGGCGCCACACUGGAACGGAUCCGACGGUCAGGGACGAAGCCUAGGGGCACGAACCGGAUUAGAUACCCGGGUAGUCCUAGGUGUAAACGCUGUGAACUUGGUGUCGGGGGUCCGCAA
rnacentral:rRNA from 1 species